GACGAACGCUGGCGGCGUGCCUAAUGCAUGCAAGUCGAACGCUGAAGGAGGAGCUUGCUUCUCUGGAUGAGUUGCGAACGGGUGAGUAACGCGUAGGUAACCUGCCUGGUAGCGGGGGAUAACUAUUGGAAACGAUAGCUAAUACCGCAUAAGAGUAGAUGUUGCAUGACAUUUGCUUAAAAGGUGCAAUUGCAUCACUACCAGAUGGACCUGCGUUGUAUUAGCUAGUUGGUGGGGUAACGGCUCACCAAGGCGACGAUACAUAGCCGACCUGAGAGGGUGAUCGGCCACACUGGGACUGAGACACGGCCCAGACUCCUACGGGAGGCAGCAGUAGGGAAUCUUCGGCAAUGGACGGAAGUCUGACCGAGCAACGCCGCGUGAGUGAAGAAGGUUUUCGGAUCGUAAAGCUCUGUUGUAAGAGAAGAACGAGUGUGAGAGUGGAAAGUUCACACUGUGACGGUAGCUUACCAGAAAGGGACGGCUAACUACGUG
rnacentral:rRNA from 1 species